GUGGGUGGAAGCUCAACAUAGAGGUCACAUGCAGGGUGCUUGUCACUCAACCAAUCACCGUGGGGAAGGUCUGAGACAAGAGCCAGUCACUGCCCUAGCAGGGUAUCACCUGACCUGGGUGAGUGAGUGUACAGAGAAUAUGAGCCAUUGUGAGUUGUCUUUACAGGAGAAACCAGCCAGUCCAGCACCACUACUGGUGGAUGUGACCUCACUGGCUUGGAAACACUCAUGGUUGGCAUAUGAGUGCGAUGUCUGAGUUGGGGUACACAUAGGAUAUUGGCCAUUGAUUUGUAACCUUCUGCAUCACGUUCAAAGAGGUACUUUUAUUUUGAAGGCAAACCAUAAAUUCCACUAUUGUGCCCAU
ensembl:ribozyme RNaseP_nuc Nuclear RNase P